rnacentral:tRNA from 1 species
AUUUAAGUAGUUUAAUAAAAAUAUAGAUUUGUGGAUUCUAAGAAGUAGUAUACCUUAAAUU